rnacentral:rRNA from 1 species
UACGUAGGGGGGCUAGCGUUGUCCGGAAUCAUUGGGCGUAAAGCGCGUGUAGGCGGCCCGGUAAGUCCGCUGUGAAAGUCGGGGGCUCAACCCUCGAAAGCCGGUGGAUACUGUCGGGCUCGAGUGCGGGAGAGGCGAGUGGAAUUCCUGGUGUAGCGGUGAAAUGCGCAGAUAUCAGGAGGAACACCGAUUGCGAAGGCAGCUCGCUGGAACGUAAACUGACGCUGAUGCACGAAAGCUAGGGGGAGCAAACAGG